rnacentral:lncRNA from 1 species
ACAUGAACAGGUGGAGGUUCCGGAGCAGCAGGUGCAAAUCGGUGGUGUGCAUAUGGAUCAACUACAACCGGAGGAGGUUGAUGUGCGUAUGGAUCCGCUACAAGAGGGGGAGGUUGAUGUGCAUAUGGAUCAGCUGGAAGAGGGAGAGGUUGAUGUGCGUAUGGAUCAGCUACACGAAAAGGAGGUUGAUGUGCGUAUGGAUCAGCUACACGAAAAGGAGGUUGAUGUGCAUAUGGGUCAGGUGCACGAGGGAGAGGCUGAUACACAUAUUGGGGCUCGACUUGAGGUGGAGCUUGUAACACCUGUCCGCAUCUAUACGGAUCCUCGGGAGGCGGCAAAUGAACAACAGGAGGUGGGGGAAGCCUCUCA